CUCAAGCCCUAUAUCUUUGUGCACCUUAAGCACCUGGAAGCCAAUACGACGGGCCACUUAGAUCCCCUCCUCCCGGUCAGCCAUCCUUGACAUUGAUUCAGUCUUGUUGAUGACGUACGAGUAGCACAGUGAUUCAUAUUGUUGAUGUCCAAUAUUCAUUCUUCUUGAUAUGCAAAUUCAGUGUAUGCACAAUUAUGGAUUCAGAUAAACUGGGAGUGGUGCAUGCCUUUGUAUUGUGUUCCUGAACCUUGCUUUCUCCAUGUCAGGUCUUCUGUUCUUAGAAAAAACUCUUUUGUUGCAUCCACAUUAACCAUAUAUAUUUCUAUUUCCAUUUUUGAAUUGUAAUAUGUAGCUCAGUUUGGUGUGUCAAUUUCAGCUAGACUAAAUCAACCAUUCGGUCCUUCGUAAGUCGACUUUUCGUGUGUGUGUGUGUGUGUGUGUGUGUGUGUAGGAGGUUUAGCAGGCCUGACUUAAGACCGAACCCUGACGGUGUUUAGGCAUGGUCCGGUUGGAGAGCUUAUUUCCAGCGUUGGAGGUCUUUUCAGUUUUUCUAAAGACUUGUCCAAGUUAAACCACAAGAAUGUCAUGGGCUUGCUUGGCUACCACGGAG